UGAAGACACUGUGUUGUGAAGAUCAGC
rnacentral:piRNA from 1 species